GACGAACGCUGGCGGCGUGCUUAACACAUGCAAGUCGAACGAAGUGGCGAACGGGUGAGUAACGCGUAAUCAACCUGCCCUUCAGAGGGGGACAACAGUUGGAAACGACUGCUAAUACCGCAUACUGAAGGAGGGGAUUGCGUCUGAUUAGCUAGUUGGAGGGGUAACGGCCCACCAAGGCGAUGAUCAGUAGCCGGUCUGGAGGGAUGAACGGCCACAUUGGGAAUGGGACACGGCCCAGGCCCCUACGGGAGGCAGCAGGGGGGAAUUUUCCGCAAUGGACGAAAGUCUGACUGAGCCACGCCGCGUGGUUGAUGACGGCCUUCGGGUUGGAAAGCUCUGUUAAUCGGGACGCGGUACCGGAAUAGAAAGCCACGGCUAACUACGUGCCAGCAGCCGCGGUAAUAC
rnacentral:rRNA from 1 species